CAGUACAAUAAUUUAAAUAAUUCUGGCACAACUGGCCUGGAGAACAUUCAUAAUCUUGAUUUGAUCCAAAAUUGAGACAGUUUUAGGAACUGAUAUUUUCAGCACUUUCAAUAUUUUUUUAAAAGCAAGAACUUACUUUUACCCAAGUAAAAAGUUUACUUUAACUAGAGUUAAAGUAACUCUAGUUACUUAACUUUACUUAACUACAGGGUUUAAUAUCUAACAUUUAGCAAGCAAAGCUCAUUUAAAUGUCUCCUUUGUGAGUGGAGACAUUAUUCCAGUGAGCUUGGACGUGCAGAACCAUGGCAACAGUAUAGCUGCUCCGACCCCUCAACACAUAACAAAUCUCAGCUUAACUCUGGCAAUUUGUGGCGUUCACAGCUGAGAAAUGAUUGGCACUUUGGUUGUAGCGAAACAGUGAGAUUUUCCUAGCUGCUGUUGCUGCCGUCGGAGUUUGGAAGGAAAUCACGAGUGUGGCACUUUACUGGAUUAGUUCCUUUGUGAUAAAAGGUAGCUGAUUAUACGGGAAUCUGAUGGGUGUGUGUUGGCGCUGAUAUAAAAACUUGGGUUGAAAAGCAAGCUUGUAAAAGCUUCCUUACAGACAUGAAGAACGGCACUGCCGCUGAAAUAUGAGCUUUAAAAUGGCACCUUUCUUGCUUCGCAAUGUCCCAAGUCCUUAAUUCCAUUAGGUAACCUUAACCUCGCCUCACUUUUUCUCUUUCCAUGCGGGAAAAGUCAUGGUCAGCACUACCACGUUUACCCUUGUGGAGUUGUUUUGUAUUCUGCACAUGAUAAUGAAAAUAUUGAUUUACAUUUUAGGCCCUGGCCAAGAAGUCGUGGAUGGCGAUGACAAUAUUUCUGCAGGCAGUAAGAAAUGAAGAGGAAAAGUCUACACCGCCGUCAGAACCGCCUGCAAAACCUCAACUCACCUGCCUGAAAUUAAACAACCUGGUCAGAUUGUUGCUGGAUUUGUUUUUCUGCUGGCAUAAAUAUAGAUGUCAUCUGAGAAAAAACACAACCUUUCACAGUAAACCCAGUUUGGAUCC